CACCAGGAGAUCUGCCUUCAUCCCCGGAUUAGAUGUGACAUUUAGGAGUCACUUUCUAGUCAUUCUUGUAGGAAACUAAGGGCAGGCGAUGGUAAAACAUAUUUAGAGUUUUAUCUAGACAUGAUCCGAUUGUUAAAUACUGCGUCCUUGUCUGAUUAUCUGGCCUCUUCCAAUCACGUGCUCACUUUGUAGCAGGAAGAGUUAUAAAGACGGGGGGAGAUAUCAAAGGUGGGUACAUAGACGAUGAGGGUUCAUCACUCUAAGAGCAACGCAUGAAUCAUAAUUGAUUUUGUUAAAGAGUAGAAGGGCGAACCUGUUGUGCUAAUCCGCGACUGAGCUAAAUUUAGCUGUUCCCACCGGCCACAGAAACACGAGAAACACACGUGACAACCGGCCCUGAUAAAUUUAGAGGGAGGUUCAGAGAAGCUAACGUCACCAGAUGUGUAAACAGCAUGCGUCUUACAGGAGACGUCUGAGGAUCAUAUCCACCUGGACGUUGUUUGAGGAGAUCAUAAAGCACACCCACUUCCAAAUAACCUCUGAUGAGACGGGAAAACAAGUCUGAUACAGCGAAGAGGCGGCGCAGCAUGAUACUGCUGGAUCAAAGAUCUGUGCUGACCGAGGUCGCUUUGGUACCUGUCACAGACAUGAGAAAUCAUUAAGACGAAAAAAGUAUAAUCUUCCCCUGCAAAAUACUCAAAACUUUAAGUUCAUGUUUAUGUUUUAUAUCAGGUAAAAUUAAAAAAAG